rnacentral:lncRNA from 1 species
GAGUGAACAAGGGAAAAUAGAAAUUUAAUUGAGGAAGAAAAGGAUCAACUGUUUGCAAAAGAAAAGCUUCUUUUUUGGAGUAGGAGAAUGAUUAAUGACACAGUGCGUGCAUUUGUAUAAACAGAAUUGGUGAAUUUUGUUGUACUUGUAUGCAGCGUUUCUGAUAAGUUAUGUAACUCUAGAUUGCUCUGAAUCGGCAAUGUAUUCAACAUAUGCUUUAAUCUCAUACCAUGUCAUCAUUUUUAUGCUGAAAAAUCAGCUAUUAUCAACAGCACCCAAGCUACAUUCUUGCUGACAUUAAUUGCUGAUAUAAGGACUUCAAGGUAGAUGACAGGUUAUAGAAAAAGAAUAAGAAAUGUUUAAUUUAUGAACAAUAGAGGAUACAAUGAGAUAAAUUCAUCUAUAAGAUGAUGUAGACACGUUAAAAAAAGACCUAAAGAUGCAGCAGCGAGAAAAGACAAAUCAAUUAGAUUAAUAUAGUAAGGAGAGAUUGAGGAAGUUGUAAUAUUUGUUUUCGACAACAAAAUUAAAAUAGAUCUGAUUGCUUUUUGUUGGACUAGUCAUAUUUCCCUAAACAGCAGAAAAAAGAAACCAUAUAGCCUCUAGAUUGUUGGGAACGUACAGCUUGUUGUUUUUUUGUUAUAAGAUUAAUAUGACUAAACUUCUUCACUUUUGUCAUUUCAUGUACAUUUUGUAGUACAAUCUUCUGCAGAAAAUUAACUACUAAUUGCUGGUUAAUUGUUUCUGCUGCUUCUGUUGUCUCGCCUAUUGGCAGUUUUGGUUUUCCAUAGCUGACCAUGGUCCUCGAGAUUUUUUUUUUUUGAGCGCAUCAGGAGACAGCUCAACCACUGCCCAAGUUUGGAGAGUGGGAUGUCAAUAAUCCUGCCUCAGCUGAAGGGUACACUGUUAUAUUCAACAAGGCCCGAGAUGAAAAAAAGACAGGUGGUAACUCAGGCACACCCACAGCAACACCGAAAAGAGAUGUAGGCGGUCUACAAGCAGAUGACACCUACCAGUAUCCAAG